GUGAAUGGUGUUGAUUGUUGAACUGAAAGCUUGAUUUGGUCCGGUGGAGGGUGGCUUUGUGUAGAAUGGGGAGGUGGGAGAAGAAGAACUCUGAAGGGGCAGAAUGCUGGAGCUAGUAGGCAAGCUAGCACCCAUGGAUUCGUGAACUGGCUUGGAUGUGUACUUGGUUGCCAGGGUUGGAUGAGGACGACGGCUACAAGGUAAUCCUUUUCCCUGCCAUGUUCAGGUGCAUCACUCUGAUGCCCAUGAAGGGUGAGAUCUUGGUCGACACUAUGGAGAAGACCGUGAAGCCUGGUGUGUUCCUCAAAUCGGGACUGAUAGAAACCGAAGGGCCACUCGAAGCUGUCAAAGGGAACUUGUAGAUCUUGUGGUUGUGAUUACACUUGUAGAGACUUGUAGAGCUUGUGGCCGUGAUUACCAUUGUAUCUAAGUUAUAUGAUGUAACAAACUUAUUUUGGCUGUGAUUACCAUUGUAUUAUUUGUGCU